rnacentral:lncRNA from 1 species
AUGCUGAGUCCCAGACUUCCAGGAGGUGGGCAGUGGAAGGGCACUGCGUCCAGCACUCUGUCCAGGCAGAGGAGAGACGCGCGGGCGCAGGAGGGGGUCCUGUGUGGCACGUGGAGAGACCCCUGUCAGCGCUGUAACAGCUAUUUUGAAACAAACUGCGCUAUGGCUGAGAUGGAGACUACAUUUGGUGGUUUAUUGAUCACGCAACAGAACGACCACCGAGAAGAGAAAAUGCUGUGCAGAAGGCCUGGAGGGAUGUGGGAGCCAGCAGCUGGAGGCAGCCUCUGGGUCGAGAGCUCUGGGUCUGUCCCCCAGUGGGGCCUGGGAGCCUGCCCGAGGGGCCCCGGGGACCCCAGGCACCCUUCUAGACCCACUUCUUCAAUUCUAAGUAGACAUGUAACACCUGCAACGGUAUCCAUGAACACUUGGAAGUCCCACGCUCCCCAGGCCCUGUUUGACCCCUGUGAUGCAAGCCCUGGUCUUUCUCCACUUGGCCUUCUCCUCACCUCCACACCCUUGCCGCAUUUGGCCCAGGAGCAGCUUCCCAGGGCCUGGCCUCCGCCGCAUAUGCCGCGUCCACAGCUCACUGUGCACCAGCUCGGCCAGCUGCUCCCCCAAGCCCCUGGACCACGGCUUCGCCUCCUAACCGGGCUCCCACUGUUCUUGUCCCCGCCUACUCUUCUCCACCAAGGCGCCACCGUGAUCCUUCGCGAUCACACCAAGUGAAGGAAGCCAGGCUCAGAAGACCACAAACUGGACAGCUCCGACCAAGGUCCAAUACGAUACUUCAGAAAAGGAGCAAACUACGGAGACAGCAGAAGCCCGGGGACUGCGCUUUGUGGGGGGGGGGGGGUGGGAGGGGAAGGGGUGCUCAUGGUGGGUUUCUAGGACAGUGUCCGAUACCGCUGCAGGGGCUGCGUGGUGUGCACUGGCUAGACCCACGGAUGACACCAAAGGUGACCUCGAAUAUAAACCAUACCCUUGAGUGAAUAACAGGGCUCUGGUUCAUCGGUUGUAACAAGAACACCACAGGAAUGCAAGAUUCUAAUAAUAGGGGAAUGUGUGUGUGUGUGUGUGUGUGAGUGUGUGAGUGAGUGUGUGGCUGGGUGGGUGAUGGGGUGAGAGGGAACUCUCUGUACUUUCCACUACAUUUUUCUGUAAACCUGAAACAAGUCAAAAAAUAAACUCUAUUAAUUAAAAAAAUCA